UACGAAGGGGGCUAGCGUUGUUCGGAAUUACUGGGCGUAAAGCGAACGUAGGCGGUGUUCCAUGUCAGAGGUGAAAGCCUGGGGCUCAACUCCAGAAUUGCCUUUGAAACGGGGACGCUUGAGUCCGAGAGAGGAUGGCGGAAUUCCUAGUGUAGAGGUGAAAUUCGUAGAUAUUAGGAAGAACACCGGUGGCGAAGGCGGCCAUCUGGCUCGGUACUGACGCUCAGGUUCGAAAGCAUGGGGAGCGAACAGG
rnacentral:rRNA from 1 species